ACUGUUGUCAGGGAUAAUUUACUUUCAAGAUUUCAAACAAUAAAAUAUAUAUGUAGGUAUGUUACCCCGGAUGACCAAUAACUGACACUUCAAACUCUAUCAUCUAUUUUUAAACAUUUUCUAAUAAACUUUUAAAUUUGU